rnacentral:tmRNA from 2 species
GGGGCUGAUUCUGGAUUCGACGGGAUUCGCGAAACCCAAGGUGCAUGCCGAGGGGCGGUUUGCCUCGUUAAAAGCCGCAAAAAAAUAGUCGCAAACGACGAAAACUACGCUUUAGCAGCUUAAUAACCUGCUUAGAGCCCUCUCUCCCUAGCCUCCGCUCUUAGGACGGGGAUCAAGAGAGGUCAAACCCAAAAGAGAUCGCGUGGAUGCCCUGCCUGGGGUUGAAGCGUUAAAACUAAUCAGGCUAGUCUGUCAGUGGCGUGUCUGUCCGCAGCUGCCAGGCGAAUGUAAAGACUGACUAAGCAUGUAGUACCGAGGAUGUAGGAAUUUCGGACGCGGGUUCAACUCCCGCCAGCUCCACCA